UCCCGGGUAGUCCAGUGGUUAAGACUCUGCUCUCAAUGCAGGGGACCCAGGUUCAACCCCUAGUCAGGGAA
rnacentral:tRNA from 1 species